AUUGAACGCUGGCGGCAGGCCUAACACAUGCAAGUCGAACGGUAACAGGAAGAAGCUUGCUUCUUUGCUGACGAGUGGCGGACGGGUGAGUAAUGUCUGGGAAACUGCCUGAUGGAGGGGGAUAACUACUGGAAACGGUAGCUAAUACCGCAUAACGUCGCAAGACCAAAGAGGGGGACCUUCGGGCCUCUUGCCAUCGGAUGUGCCCAGAUGGGAUUAGCUAGUAGGUGGGGUAACGGCUCACCUAGGCGACGAUCCCUAGCUGGUCUGAGAGGAUGACCAGCCACACUGGAACUGAGACACGGUCCAGACUCCUACGGGAGGCAGCAGUGGGGAAUAUUGCACAAUGGGCGCAAGCCUGAUGCAGCCAUGCCGCGUGUAUGAAGAAGGCCUUCGGGUUGUAAAGUACUUUCAGCGGGGAGGAAGGGAGUAAAGUUAAUACCUUGACUCAUUGACGUUACCCGCAGAAGAAGCACCGGCUAACUCCAUG
rnacentral:rRNA from 1 species